AUUGAACGCUGGCGGCAGGCUUAACACAUGCAAGUCGAGCGAGCGGCGGACGGGUGAGUAAUGUCUGGGAAACUGCCUGAUGGAGGGGGAUAAAUACUGGAAACGGUAGCUAAUACCGCAUACCAUCAGAUGUGCCCAGAGGGGAUUAGCUAGUAGGUGGGGUAAUGGCUCACCUAGGGGACGAUCCCUAGCUGGUCUGAGAGGAUGAACAGCAAAACUGGAACUGAUACCGGUUCCAGACUCCUACGGGAGGCAGCAGUGGGUAAUAUUUCACAAUGGGCGCAAGCCUGAUGCAGCCAUGCCGCUUGUGGGAAGAAGGCCUUCGGGUGGUAAAGCACUUUCAGCGAGGAGGCGUUACUCGCAGAAGAAGCACCGGCUAACUCCGUGCCAGCAGCCGCGGUAAUAC
rnacentral:rRNA from 1 species